AGAAUACCGGGAAAGAAUUCGUCUGGAUGCUGUAAAAAUGACGGAAUACCUGCGUACAAAGGUUGAGGUAAAUCCACACGUUUUUGUUUGGCCUUAUGGCGAAGCGAAUGGCAUAGCGAUAGAGGAAUUAAAAAAACUCGGUUAUGACAUGUUCUUCACCCUUGAAUCAGGUUUGGCAAAUGCGUCGCAAUUGGAUUCCAUUCCGCGGGUAUUAAUCGCCAAUAAUCCCUCAUUAAAAGAGUUUGCCCAGCAAAUUAUUACCGUACAGGAAAAAUCACCACAACGGAUAAU
rnacentral:misc_RNA from 1 species